rnacentral:rRNA from 1 species
GGACCCGCACAAGUAGUGGAGCAUGUGGUUUAAUUCGAAGAUACGCGCAGAACCUUACCAACACUUGACAUGUUCGUCGCGACUUUAAGAGAUUAAAGUUUUCGGUUCGGCCGGACGAAACACAGGUGCUGCAUGGCUGUCGUCAGCUCGUGUCGUGAGAUGUUGGUUAAGUCCCGCAACGAGCGCAACCCCUUCAUCGCUUUAGUUGCCAUUCAUUUGAGUUGGGCACUCUGAAAGAACUGCCAGUGAUAAGCUGGAGGAAGGUGGGGAUGACGUCAAGUCCUCAUGGCCCUUACGUGUUGGGCUACACACGUGCUACAAUGGUAUCUACAACAGGAAGCAAGACGGCGACGUUAAG